GCAGAGUCAGGAUUCUCCCUGAGAUGUUGCCCUCAGCAGGAACGCUUUGUGAAAAGUCGUCUAAGAUAUAGAGCUGUGAGGGCAAAAUGGGUGGAAACCGAUUCGGAGGACUCCUGCCUCUGUGUCAAGUAUAAAGAGUGGAAAGAAUUAAGUUUUUAUCGUAAGUGGACCGCCACUGUUCUGAGCUCUGUGCUCUUUCCUAUCCAGCUAGAUAGUCAUAGCCAUCUUUUUGGAUUUUUAAGACAGAGUCUUUGUAGCCAAGGCUGGCCUGGAAUUCGCGGCCGUCUUCCUGCUUUAGGCCUUCCAAGUACAGGGAUGAACCAACACGGGCCCCUAAGUUCUUUUUCCCCUCAUUAGCUAAAAUGUCACUUUAGAAAGGCUUUUCAUAGUAUCUCAAUCUAACGUGUUCUCCGAGAUACUUGGUAUCGCACCACCGUGUUUAAUUUCCUGUACAGUCCUUAUCACUCUCUGUAAAGACUGUUUUCACAGCCUUUAAUUGCACAGCAACGAAAACUUUAUGGAGAUUAAGAACUAGAAAACAUUGCUAUUUUUUUCCCAAUGCCUUGUAUAGUCCUGGGUUAGGCAGUAAGAACUUGAUAAUAAAUGUCGAAUGAAUGAAGGGAGGGCGGGGGAGAAAGGGAAAGAGAGGAACAAGAAGGGGGGAGAGAUGGGGAGAAAGGAAACCUGAGGUUACGGGAUUCAAAACAAGAUAGUCAAGAGGGGCAAAAACUGUAGAAAUUAUGCGCCCUCUGCAGGCCAGGGAGGAUAGGCGCUUUAAGAAUUACCCCCAGGGGACGGUAGGGGGCGCUCGUGUAGUUUUCGCCAAGGCCCAGAGUUCAGACUACAACUCCCAGAAACCUCUAGGAAUUCUCCAGCGCUUGAGGUGUAGGCAAAGUCGUUCCUUCCCGCCUUCCCGCUCGGAAUCGGAGGAGGAUGCGGAGAGCCUAUCGGAAGGUGGCCCGACUCCCGCGAGAGCAAGAAGCCCUGGCGGCGCCUAGCGACCCUAGGCGCUUGGCUUUGGACACUCGUUCCCUGGUGAUUGCUUUAGGUUCGGCUUACAUUUUCCGGAAGAGGAAAGCGGACUCCGGUCUCUGAGCAUCCCUGGGAACGGUAAUGCACUCUAGCCUCGGCAGCUGGUAGCCGGCUCAGCGAGACUUGCCCGACCUCUGCCUUCCGGGGGCUUACUCUACAGAAUGAAGACGUCGGAGGAGCGACUCUUAGCUCCGGAUAGCCUCCCUCCUGACCUGGCCCCAGCUCCGGUACCCCAAGGUUCCCCAGCGGAGAAAAAUACAGACUUUGAACCGGUGCCUCCGCCAUGCGGUGGUGAUGACCAACCCCAGCUAGCCACAGAUCCCGUGGCUAGCUUGGUUGUGUCCCAGGAGCUUCAACAAGGGGACUCUGUACCUCUGGAAGUAGAAUUUAAUACUUCCAGUGAGUUGAGUCCUGGAAUCGAGGAGCAAGAUGUUUCUGAACAUGCGAGUCUUCCCGGAGAAGAAACGAAUCUCCCCGAGUUGGAGUCAGGAGAAGCCACGGAAGGUGUGUCUGAGGAACGCGCUGAAGUGGAUGAGGGGGACACCUUUUGGACCUACAGCUUCUCGCAGGUACCCCGAUACCUCAGUGGUUCCUGGUCCGAGUUCAGCACCCGCUCCGAGAACUUCUUGAAAGGUUGCAAGUGGGCCCCUGACGGUUCCUGUAUCUUGACCAAUAGUGCUGAUAAUGUCCUUCGGAUUUACAACCUGCCCCCAGAAUUGUACAGUGAACAAGAGCAGGUGGAUUACGCCGAAAUGGUUCCUGUCCUUCGAAUGGUGGAGGGCGACACCAUCUAUGAUUACUGCUGGUAUUCUCUGAUGUCCUCCACCCAGCCAGACACCUCCUAUGUGGCCAGCAGCAGCCGGGAGAACCCGAUUCACAUCUGGGAUGCAUUCACUGGAGAACUACGGGCUUCCUUUCGCGCUUACAACCACCUGGAUGAGUUGACAGCAGCCCACUCGCUCUGUUUCUCCCCGGAUGGUUCCCAACUCUUCUGUGGCUUCAACCGGACUGUGCGUGUCUUUUCCACAUCCAGACCUGGCAGAGACUGUGAGCCAAAAAGCAGGGCCAGAGCGGUAUCAUCUCCUGUAUAGCCUUCAGUCCAUCCCAGCCCCUCUAUGCCUGUGGCUCCUACGGCCGCACCAUAGGCCUGUAUGCCUGGGAUGAUGGUUCGCCUCUUGCCUUGCUGGGAGGCCACCAAGGGGGUAUCACCCACCUUUGCUUUCACCCUGAUGGCAAUCUCUUCUUCUCGGGAGCCCGAAAGGAUGCUGAACUUCUGUGCUGGGAUCUCCGGCAGCCAGGCCACCUCCUGUGGUCUCUGAGUCGGGAAGUGACCACUAAUCAGCGCAUCUACUUUGAUCUGGACCCGAGCGGUCAGUUCCUAGUGAGCGGCAACACCAGUGGAGUUGUCUCUGUGUGGGAUAUCAGUGGAGCUCUUAGUGACGACAGCAAGCUGGAACCCGUGGUGACUUUUCUGCCUCAGAAGGACUGCACCAACGGAGUCAGCCUUCACCCUACCUUGCCUCUACUGGCCACUGCUUCUGGCCAGCGCGUGUUCCCUGAGCCCACCAAUAGCGGGGAUGAAGGUGAGCUGGAGCUGGAGCUUCCUCUGCUCUCCCUGUGCCACGCCCAUCCCGAAUGUCAGCUUCAGCUCUGGUGGUGUGGAGGGGGACCUGACCCCAGUAGCCCUGUUGACGACCAGGAUGAAAAGGGACAAAGAAGGACAGAGGCUGUGGGGAUGAGUUAAUAUAAAGACUUUGUGUCA